UACGUAGGUGGCAAGCGUUGUCCGGAUUUAUUGGGUUUAAAGGGUGCGUAGGCGGCUUUGUAAGUCAGUGGUGAAAUAUGGCAGCUCAACUGUCAAGGUGCCAUUGAUACUGCAGAGCUUGAGAACAGAUGAGGUAGGCGGAAUUGACGGUGUAGCGGUGAAAUGCUUAGAUAUCGUCAAGAACACCUAUAGCGAAGGCAGCUUACUAGGCUGUAACUGACGCUGAGGCACGAAAGUGUGGGGAUCAAACAGG
rnacentral:rRNA from 1 species